rnacentral:telomerase_RNA from 1 species
GUGGAGGGGUUGGGAUUUGCAUGAAUUUCAUGAUCCCAUGAUAACCCGAACCCUAAACCUGCCGGGUGCACAUUCCCGGAACAUUCUACAAUUGAGGGGUUGUUUCCGUGUUUCUCCCCUUGAAGGGCAAAUCUUGAUACCCCAAAAUAAAUACGCAAACACUGCCCCAAUUUGUGUCAAAACCCAACAUUAGGCCCUUUGGUGAGAGGUUUGCAGGGCAGUGAGAUGUGGCUAACCCCCACGCCGCUGGUGCCUCACCUCUCCCCCACCUCCAUUUUU